GAGAGCCCGUUGCCGAGAGAUCGGCACGGCGGGUUCGGCGAGCGGCCUGGGGAAACGGACCGGGAGCAAUCCCGGCACCGCGCCCCAGGCCGACUCAAC
rnacentral:ncRNA from 1 species